AUUGAACGCUGGCGGCAGGCUUAACACAUGCAAGUCGAGCGGGGGAAGGUAGCUUGCUACCGGACCUAGCGGCGGACGGGUGAGUAAUGCUUAGGAAUCUGCCUAUUAGUGGGGGACAACAUCUCGAAAGGGAUGCUAAUACCGCAUACGUCCUACGGGAGAAAGCGGGGGAUCUUCGGACCUUGCGCUAAUAGAUGAGCCUAAGUCGGAUUAGCUAAUUGGUGGGGUAAAGGCCUACCAAGGCGACGAUCUGUAGCGGGUCUGAGAGGAUGAUCCGCCACACUGGGACUGAGACACAGCCCAGACUCCUACGGGAGGCAGCAGUGGGGAAUAUUGGACAAUGGGGGGAACCCUGAUCCAGCCAUGCCGCGUGUGUGAAGAAGGCCUUAUGGUUGUAAAGCACUUUAAGCGAGGAGGAGGCUACUCUAGUUAAUACCUAGGGAUAGUGGACGUUACUCGCAGAAUAAGCACCGGCUAACUCUGUGCCAGCAGCCGCCGUAAUAC
rnacentral:rRNA from 1 species